rnacentral:rRNA from 1 species
GACGAACGCUGGCGGCGUGCCUAAUACAUGCAAGUUGAGCGAUGAAGCUUGGUGCUUGCACCAAUUUGAAGAGCAGCGCACGGGUGAGUAACGCGUGGGGAAUCUGCCUUUGAGCGGGGGACAACAUUUGGAAACGAAUGCUAAUACCGCAUAACAACUUUAAACAUAAGUUUUAAGUUUGAAAGAUGCAAUUGCAUCACUCAAAGAUGAUCCCGCGUUGUAUUAGCUAGUUGGUGAGGUAAAGGCUCACCGAGGCGAUGAUACAUAGCCGACCUGAGAGGGGGAUCGGCCACAUUGGGACUGAGACACGGCCCAAACUCCUACGGGAGGCAGCAGUAGGGAAUCUUCGGCAAUGGACGAAAGUCUGACCGAGCAACGCCGCGUGAGUGAAGAAGGUUUUCGGAUCGUAAAACUCUGUUGGUAGAGAAGAACGUUGGUGAGAGUGGAAAGCUCAUCAAGUGACGGUAACUACCCAGAAAGGGACGGCUAACUACGUG